rnacentral:rRNA from 1 species
UACGGGGGGGGCAAGCGUUGUUCGGAAUUACUGGGCGUAAAGGGCGCGUAGGCGGCCUGCUAAGUCGGAUGUGAAAUCCCUCGGCUCAACCGAGGAACUGCAUCCGAUACUGGCGGGCUUGAAUCCGGGAGAGGGAUGUGGAAUUCCAGGUGUAGCGGUGAAAUGCGUAGAUAUCUGGAGGAACACCGGUGGCGAAGGCGGCAUCCUGGACCGGUAUUGACGCUGAGGCGCGAAAGCUAGGGGAGCAAACGGGG